GAGCUCGUAGGGAGCUCAAAGUAGUAAAUAUGAAAUUCAGCUUUGCAUCAUUAUAAAUUGAGAAUAUAAUUUUAUGAAAAGAGUAUUUCGCUAAGGACAGGCUGGUUUACAAAAUGCCAUCGUGGUCUAUCAUCAGAAGGCCAAGAAGUGAGCUCAGAUUCCUUUUCUUAUUUCCUUUAAAGGGAAAUUUGAACUGUUCCUGUGCCCAGGGGCAUGACAAGUACCUUCUCUCUGAAGGGGUCAGUAGCCUCUAUUAACGUCUGAAGGAUGGCCCUACAUUCCUAGGGCCCCUCCCAUAGGUAUCGAAUUAUAAAUAUAAAGUUGCUUUUUUUUCCCCCCUUUCAGGAAAGAUCCCGACUUCACCUUCCUUAGCAAUGGAAUAAGUGACUGAAAAACAGCAGUUGCUGAUGAAAUCCCAACUUCCAGAUACAUUCCAGGGCUUAUUUGUGGAGGGAAAUGUUCUUUACCUUUUGAACUUUCAGAUAGCUGGCAAAAGCACACGGGUAAGCUUUUUUCUUUCUUUCUUUUUAAUUAAACAGGAAAAAAUAUCACACCCUGGCUUGGCUGGUUACCAAAGGCAGGGGUUUCACAGCUAUUCCUGAAGGAUCCCUUCACAGAUGCGGGGCUGGGUGACAGGAACAAGGACCCGGCAUGGUGACUGUAACGGCAACCCCCUCCAUAUCUUCCUAGAAACCAGCUGCAGCCAGGGCUUCUGGAAGGGGGUGACGAGGAGAAGCGUUAUCAGAUGUCCUCUUGGAGCAGGGCUGCCCUGGGAGCACAUGCACUGGCUAAUUGCUUCUGAAUUCUCUGCUCACUGUUUCCUUUACCCAUCUGGAGCAUCUUGUGGGAGUACACAAACAAAGCUCCUGGCUUCCCAGCAAGACUGUCAACUCACCCUCUAG
rnacentral:lncRNA from 12 species